UAUCGACGAGUUUGAUCCUGGCUCAGGAUGAACGCUAGCGGCAGGCUUAAUACAUGCAAGUCAAGGGGGUAGCAAUACAACCGGCGCACGGGUGAGUAACACGUACACAACAUACCAUAUACUGAGGUAUAGCUUCGGGAAACUGAAGGUAAUCCCUCAUAGUAUUGUGAAAGGGCAUCUUUUUACAAUUAAAAUUUCGACGGUAUAUGAUUGGUGUGCGUUUGAUUAGCUAGUUGGUAGGGUAACGGCCUACCAAGGCAACGAUCAAUAGCUGGCGUGAGAGCGCGACCAGCCACACUGGAACUGAGACACGGUCCAGACUCCUACGGGAGGCAGCAGUAGGGAAUAUUGGACAAUGGGCGAAAGCCUGAUCCAGCCAUGCCGCGUGAUAGAUGAAGGCCCUCUGGGUUGUAAAUAUCUUUUAUCUGGGAAGAAACACUUCUAUUCUUAGAAGCUUGACGGUACCAGAGGAAUAAGCACCGGCUAACUCCGUG
rnacentral:rRNA from 1 species